GAUUCCCAUAGUAACGGCGAGUGAAAGGGGAAGAGCCCAGCGCUGAAUCCAUCGAUCACUGGUCGCUUGGAAUUGUAGCGUAUAGGUGCGGCUAUCCGCUCGUUUCGUGCACCCAAAGUCCCCUUGAGCGGGGCCAUAGUCCAAAGAAGGUGCUAGACCUGUACGGGUGGCGAGGCGGUCGGUUGGUCGCUCCUUGGAGUCGGGUUGCCUGGGAUCGCAGCCCAAAGUUGGUGGUAGACCUCAUCUAAGGCUAAAUAUGGCCACGAAACCGAUAGCAAACAAGUACCGUGAGGGAAAGUUGCAAAGAACUUUGAAGAGAGAGUUCAAGAGGGCGUGAAACCGCCGAGAUUGAAACGGAUAGAGUUGACGAAACUCGAUCGCAUUCAUCCGAUCCGCCUAGCGGUUCGGCGGUUGUUGACUUCCUCGAUGAGGGCAACGCCGUCGCUGGCUGUUGGGUGUUAGAUUGGUGUAUUUGCGGUCGGUAUGCGCCGAGAGCUUUGCGAGCGCAUGUUGACGUUGAUGUAGUGGACCACUCCCUCCGGGCGUGGAACCCUGCAUUGAUUGAGGCAUGUCGUUCGUAGGGUGUUGCUGGGUGACGUCUCCGCUAUGGUGGGUCGGCUUUGUUGGGCUGUUGCGGUUGCUGGGUGAUCGCAUGCGAGCGCCUGCAGCUUGCGAUGGUACGAUGAGGUGCGGACGCGCUUGAGACGUGCAUCUCGGUGUGAACGUUGACC
rnacentral:rRNA from 1 species